rnacentral:rRNA from 1 species
CACGUAGGGUGCGAGCGUUGUCCGGAAUUAUUGGGCGUAAAGAGCUCGUAGGCGGUUGGGUAAGUCGGGUGUGAAAACUCCAGGCUCAACUUGGAGACGCCACCCGAUACUGCUCUGACUUGAGUUCGGUAGGGGAGUGGGGAAUUCCUGGUGUAGCGGUGAAAUGCGCAGAUAUCAGGAGGAACACCGGUGGCGAAGGCGCCACUCUGGGCCGAAACUGACGCUGAGGAGCGAAAGCGUGGGUAGCAAACAGG